GGGCGGUUAGCUCAGUUGGCUAGAGCGCCUGCUCGACACGCAGGAGGUCGUUGGUUCGAGUCCAAUACCGCCCA
rnacentral:tRNA from 1 species